rnacentral:tRNA from 1 species
GGCCCCGUAGCUCAGUGGAUAGAGCACACGUUUCCUAAACGUGGUGUCGGAUGUUCAAGUCAUCUCGGGGCCGCCA